rnacentral:rRNA from 1 species
AUCUUGGACAAUGGGCGCAAGCCUGAUCCAGCCAUGCCGCGUGAGUGAUGAAGGCCUUAGGGUUGUAAAACUCUUUCGCCGAGGACGAUAAUGACGGUACUCGGAGAAGAAGCUCCGGCUAACUUCGUGCCAGCAGCCGCGGUAAUACGAAGGGGGCUAGCGUUGUUCGGAUUUACUGGGCGUAAAGCGCGUGUAGGCGGAUUUGUAAGUUGGGGGUGAAAUCCCGAGGCUCAACCUCGGAACUGCCUCCAAAACUACAAGUCUGGAGCAAGAUAGAGGCAAGUGGAAUUGCGAGUGUAGAGGUGAAAUUCGUAGAUAUUCGCAGGAACACCAGUGGCGAAGGCGACUUGCUGGAUCUUUGCUGACGCUGAGACGCGAAAGCGUGGGGAGCAAACAGG